rnacentral:lncRNA from 1 species
AAACAUCUAAAUUAAAUAAAAAUUAAUCUAUCACAUAUGAAAUUGAUAAAAUAACAAUAAAAUGUUAAAUCAAGCAUGAAAACAAGCAUCAUUUGUAAACAAUAUGCAUUGCCUUACAGAGAGUAGACUUUUUAUCUCAAUGAGCAAAUUAUAAAAUACUUAUUUAUAACUAAUUGUGUACUUAAAACAUUUAUUAGAAUUUUAAUAUUUAUUAUUAUAUAUAAUAUUACCACAAA